GCUCCGCAAAACCCAAAAUCUUUCAAAAUCCCCAAAUCUCCGCCGUCCGCCAUGAGCGACCGCCGCGACAGGGACAGAGAUAGAAACAGAGACCGAGAUCGUGACCGGAAAAGAAUCCGCGACGACCGUGACCUCGAUCGCGAUCGCGACCGAGACCGUGACCGCGACCGCAGCAGACGCUCCCACUCUCGCACGCCCGACCGAACCAGAUCCCGCCACACACGCUCCCGAACUCGUUCUCCCGACGAAAGGGACCGCCACCGCCACCGACACCGCCACCACCGCUCUCGCUCUCGCUCUCGCUCCCCUACCUCCCCUACUCGUAAGCGCCUCAAGGACAACGUCGUUCUCAAGGACAAGGACGACGCCGUUUCGAAGGAUAAGAAGCAGAAGGAGAACGCCUCUGCUGGAAUUGAUGAUGGCAACAAGGAUCUGGAUCUGAUGGAUGAGGAUGAGAUGGAGAUGAUGAAGAUGUUCGGCAUUCCAGCGGGGUUCGAUUCCACCAAGGGGAAGCCGGUGGCAGGAAACGACGUCGGUGCGGUGAGGAAAGUCACGAAGCGGCAGCCACGCCAGUACAUGAACCGCCGCGGCGGAUUCAAUCGCCCUCUCCCUCCCGAGCGUAAUCGUUGAUAACUGAUCAUUGCCUGCAGAUAGAAGAGUGCGAUGACCUUCAUUGAACUAGGAGAUAUUUCGUUGAUUAAAUCGGACAACUGAAGAAGAUGUUGAGUAUUCGGUGGUGAUGAUCUAUGCUUGCUCUGGUUGGUUCUUGUUUUUUAGCUUUAGGCUUGUGGAUGAGAAAGGCCAUGCACUUGGUGUUGUCGCCAAGCAGCGGGUGUAAGCAUUCGGGUUCGCUGCCUUUCAUCCAGAAUGUGAGAUGUGUCUGUGCCAACCUAAACAAGGGCAGAAUUUGAGAUGUGUCCUACCUUAUGAGUGAGAGAGUCAGUUUUCCAUCAUAAUAUUUUAGUUCAGAUAAUGUUGGUUCCUUAAACAGGGAUGGUGAGUAUGAAAGAGUUUCGACUUUUUUUUAUUAUUUGUCGGCUUUCAUGUCUGGAGCAGUACAGAAUUCAGCAAAAUCAAACCUACUUCUAUAGUAAUAGAUCAUUCUAUUGUAGUUUCAGCUUCA